UCCAGCUCCAAAACAAGUGAUGGGCAAACACAUCCCAUCUAAGAAGGCCUUUAUUAAGAGCUGGGGUGAAAGAAGAUUUAGGAACCUCUUCAGAGAAAUAAACCUUGAGAGAGAAAUAGAAUCUUCUAGAAGAGAAGAGGAACGAAUAGCAUCCUUGGCCCAGACAGUCCUGGAAAACAAUAACCUGAACAUUGCUGUGCGUGGUGGCUCCUGUCUGUAAUCCCAGCUACUUGGGAUGCUGAGAGGGAGGAUGGCUUAAGUCCAGGAUUUUGAGUACAGCCGGAGCAACAUAGUGAAUGCCUGUCUCUAAAAUAAUAAUAAUAAUGAUAAUAAUAAUAAUAAUAAUAAUA
rnacentral:lncRNA from 10 species